UACGUAGGCAGCAAGCGUUGUUCGGAAUUACUGGGCGUAAAGAGUGUGUAGGCGGUGCUCCAAGUCUGGUGCGAAAUCUCCCGGCUUAACUGGGAGGGUGCAUUAGAAACUGGAAUGCUAGAGGAUGGGAGAGGUAAGCGGAAUUCCUGGUGUAGCGGUGAAAUGCGUAGAUAUCAGGAGGAACACCUGUGGUGUAGACAGCUUACUGGACCAUUUCUGACGCUGAGACACGAAAGCGUGGGUAGCAAACAGG
rnacentral:rRNA from 1 species